UUUUGAGGUGUGAGUUAGGUCCAAGAUCAAUUUUCUCAUGGUAUCAGAUCCAGGCCCAUCCCAAAUCUUUGUCUACCGAUGGUGGGCCCCCAUAUAUUGUCCAUGCUCCAGUUAGCAUGGGCAUGCGGGGAAGUGUUAAGUAUCCCAUAUCCGAAGAGAAAAGGGUCCUUGGUCUCCUUAUAAGGCUUGGGCAAUCCUCCUCCUCAUGAGAUAGCU
rnacentral:lncRNA from 1 species